UUAUAAGAUCAUGUGAUAUUUUCGACGCUGUCCUUGUAGUUAAUUUAUUUAUUUUGAAAAAUUGUAGUUAUUACAUAUGUUCCAUCGGUGGUCGAGUUAUUUAAUGAAUUAUUCGUUUAGGUUUACUAACCAAUAGAAUUUCAUUAUUUCAAAUUCGAUAUUUUUUAGAAAAAAAAACAAAAUAUUGCCAAGUUAUAUUAUAUUUUUAAAAUAAAAAGUAAAAAAAAUAGUAGUUACAGAAAAAAAAAGAAUUUUUAAAGAAUAUUUUUAACGUCGUCAUAAACAGUAAA
rnacentral:lncRNA from 1 species